rnacentral:rRNA from 1 species
GACGAACGCUGGCGGCGUGCUUAACACAUGCAAGUCGAACGGAAAGGCCCUGCUUGCAGGGUGCUCGAGUGGCGAACGGGUGAGUAACACGUGGGUGAUCUGCCCCUUACUUUGGGAUAAGCCUGGGAAACUGGGUCUAAUACUGGAUAGGACCAUGCUGUAGGUGGUGUGGUGGAAAGAUUAGUUUCGGUAAGGGAUGAGCUCGCGGCCUAUCAGCUUGUUGGUGGGGUAAUGGCCUACCAAGGCGUCGACGGGUAGCCGGCCUGAGAGGGUGGACGGCCACAUUGGGACUGAGAGACGGCCCAGACGCCUACGGGAGGCAGCAGUGGGGAAUAUUGCACAAUGGGCGCAAGCCUGAUGCAGCGACGCCGCGUGGGGGAUGACGGCCUUCGGGUUGUAAACUCCUUUCAGCCAUGACGAAGCCCUUGUGGUGACGGUAGUGGUAGAAGAAGCACCGGCUAACUACGUG